UUCAGAAUAAAUUUUCUCAUAUUAAUAGCAUCGAUAUGUUUACAUGGAUGAUAAUAAAGAAAGACGAUAUUUACCAAAUUUUUUUGCUGAAUUUUUAUUUGAAAGAUAGAAAAAGCACACAGGAUUUAAGGUCAACAGGUUGAGCACACAUGAUUAAAGGUCAACAUGUUACAACGCGAUUGCUGGUUGGCUACAGGCACAUGUUUUGUAAGAAGUUUUCUUUUUGGGGGCAAUUUGAUUGGGUUGUGUACGGCGAACAUGGUUAUUUAACAGAUGGCAAGGCAGCCAGUAGAAUUCAAGUUUACAACUGCAUAACCGUACAAAGCUUGUAGAGAACCCGGAAGACAUAUUCUUCUCAGCAUAUAAAAGAAGAGCGAAAGGAUAUUUUCUUGGAUAGGACAACCGACGACCACAAAGAUGGUGAAUUGCAAACUGACCAUCUGUGUCGUAGCAAUUUUCAUUGGAGUGACGCAUGCUCCUGUUCAUGUUAGCUGUCAUAAAUUUCCACCACAACAGGGAAAAGGAACACCCGUUGGGAUGAGACUAUUGCCUAUUCCUGUACCUAAACCGUUUCCUGUUAAAGGACGUUCUGAUGAAAGACCGAUCGUUUUAUUGGUCCACGACGAAGGAUUUGAUAAUGUAUUUGGUGG